GUCGUAGUCCGGAUUGGAGUCUGCAACUCGACUCCAUGAAGUCGGAAUCGCUAGUAAUCGUGGAUCAGAAUGCCACGGUGAAUACGUUCCCGGGCCUUGUACACACCGCCCGUCACACCAUGGGAGUGGGUUGCAAAAGAAGUAGGUAGCUUAACCUUCGGGAGGGCGCUUACCACUUUGUGAUUCAUGACUGGGGUGAAGUCGUAACAAGGUAACCGUAGGGGAACCUGCGGUUGGAUCACCUCCUUACCUUAAAGAAGC
rnacentral:rRNA from 3 species